GGAUGUGAGGGCAAUCUGGCUGCAACAUCUGUCAUCCCAUCAAUUUCCAGGGUUGGUUUGGCUGAUCUGGCUGGAUAGGUGGGUGUCCCCUUCCUCCCUCACCAUUCCAUGUGCAUCCCUCCAGAAGCUGCAUGUUUGGUCAAAGAGGAUGACCUUCCCUAAAUAGAGGAGGACUGGUCUUUGGUCAAGGGUAUACAAGUAGCUGCACUCCCCUGCUAGAACCUUCAAACAAACUCUCAUUAUUGAGUUUCGUAGGUGUGGUAGUUUGAUUCAGGUGCCUCCAUAAACUCAUGUAU
rnacentral:snRNA from 1 species